AUUGAACGCUGGCGGCAGGCCUAACACAUGCAAGUCGAGCGGAUGAAGGGAGCUUGCUCCUGGAUUCAGCGGCGGACGGGUGAGUAAUGCCUAGGAAUCUGCCUGGUAGUGGGGGAUAACGUCCGGAAACGGGCGCUAAUACCGCAUAUGUCCUGAGGGAGAAAGUGGGGGAUCUUCGGACCUCACGCUAUCAGAUGAGCCUAGGUCGGAUUAGCUAGUUGGUGGGGUAAAGGCCUACCAAGGUGACGAUCCGUAACUGGUCUGAGAGGAUGAUCAGUCACACUGGAACUGAGACACGGUCCAGACUCCUACGGGAGGCAGCAGUGGGGAAUAUUGGACAAUGGGCGAAAGCCUGAUCCAGCCAUGCCGCGUGUGUGAAGAAGGUCUUCGGAUUGUAAAGCACUUUAAGUUGGGAGGAAGGGCAGUAAGUUAAUACCUUGCUGUUUUGACGUUACCAACAGAAUAAGCACCGGCUAACUUCGUG
rnacentral:rRNA from 1 species